CCAGACUCCUACGGGAGGCAGCAGUGGGGGAUAUUGCACAAUGGGGGAAACCCUGAUGCAGCGACGCCGCGUGAGUGAAGAAGUAUUUCGGUAUGUAAAGCUCUAUCAGCAGGGACGAAAAUGACGGUACCUGAGUAAGAAGCCCCGACUAACUACGUGCCAGCAGCCGCGGUAAUACGUAGGGGGCAAGCGUUAUCCGGAUUUACUGGGUGUAAAGGGAGCGUAGACGGUUAUGCAAGUCUGGAGUGAAAGGCGGGGCUCAACCCCCGGACUGCUCUGGAAACUGUAGAACUAGAGUGCAGGAGGGGUAAGUGGAAUUCCUAGUGUAGCGGUGAAAUGCGUAGAUAUUAGGAGGAACACCAGUGGCGAAGGCGGCCUGCUGGACAGUAACUGACGUUGAGGCUCGAAAGCGUGGGGAGCAAACAGGAUUAGAUACCCCGGUA
rnacentral:rRNA from 1 species